GACGAACGCUGGCGGCGUGCUUAACACAUGCAAGUCGAACGGAAAGGCCCUGCUUUUGUGGGGUGCUCGAGUGGCGAACGGGUGAGUAACACGUGAGUAACCUGCCCUUGACUUUGGGAUAACUUCAGGAAACUGGGGCUAAUACCGGAUAGGAGCUCCUGCUGCAUGGUGGGGGUUGGAAAGUUUCGGCGGUUGGGGAUGGACUCGCGGCUUAUCAGCUUGUUGGUGGGGUAGUGGCUUACCAAGGCUUUGACGGGUAGCCGGCCUGAGAGGGUGACCGGCCACAUUGGGACUGAGAGACGGCCCAGACUCCUACGGGAGGCAGCAGUGGGGAAUAUUGCACGAUGGGCGGAAGCCUGAUGCAGCAACGCCGCGUGCGGGAUGACGGCCUUCGGGUUGUAAACCGCUUUCGACUGUGACGAAGCGUGAGUGACGGUAAUGGGUAAAGAAGCACCGGCUAACUACGUG
rnacentral:rRNA from 1 species